GACGAACGCUGGCGGCGUGCUUAACACAUGCAAGUCGAGCGGUAAGGCCCUUUCGGGGGUACACGAGCGGCGAACGGGUGAGUAACACGUGGGUGACCUGCCCUCAGCUCUGGGAUAAGCCUGGGAAACCGGGUCUAAUACCGGAUAUGACUCCAUGACGCAUGUUGUGGGGUGGAAAGCCUUGUGCGGCUGAGGACGGGCCCGCGGCCUAUCAGCUUGUUGGUGGGGUGANGGCCUACCAAGGCGACGACGGGUAGCCGGCCUGAGAGGGCGACCGGCCACACUGGGACUGAGACACGGCCCAGACUCCUACGGGAGGCAGCAGUGGGGAAUCUUGCGCAAUGGGCGAAAGCCUGACGCAGCGACGCCGCGUGAGGGAUGACGGCCUCGG
rnacentral:rRNA from 1 species